rnacentral:lncRNA from 1 species
UUUGAUAAAUAUCAUACGAGACUUAUAUAUGAUACGAUUUUGUUAUAUGUUAUUUUCAUAUAAACUUUUGUGCAUACACAUACGACUUCUCGGAACAACAAAAACUAUCCUAUCGAUAUAUUUAUAUUUUGUAAAAAUAUUUGUAUAAUCGAAUUUCUCAAAAACCAAGUCUUUCAAAGACUUAUUACUUGUUAAUCCUUAACGAUGUUAAACGAGCUAACAAGUAUAACUUCUUCGUUUCAUCUAAGUUAGCAACUUAACCGUCGAAUCGUUCGGUCAACGAUUCGGUAGAGCUCGGUGACACGUAGUUAGUUACCGCUUUUGGAUUAGAAACUUAUAAGAUAUUCCGUGUUAGGAAUAUCGUAGAAUGCACGCUAGCGAGUCUCGUCUUGGAAAUGACAUCACGAAGUCGUAUUUAGCUAGCUUUGCACAUGGAAAUUCAGGUUACUUUUCAGAAACCAUGACACGGUUGGAAUAGGAGAACCAUUGGAGAUUCGAGUACUUAGUGGGCGUUCAAUUUCUAAAAGACUUAGCUUAUUUGCUUCCGCUGUG